AGAGGUAGUAGGUUGCAUAGUUUUAGGGCAGUGGUUUUGCCCAAAAGGAGUUAACUAUACAACCUGCUGCCUUUC
rnacentral:pre_miRNA from 1 species